AUCACUUCUCGGCCUUUUGGCUAAGAUCAAGUGUAGUAUCUGUUCUUAUCAGUUUAAUAUCUGAUACGUCCUCUAUNGUUUGCUUUGGCCGAUGUCGUAGAGGUUGCUGACUAUGCUCUCCUCUAGAAUUUUGAUGGAUUCCUC
rnacentral:snRNA from 1 species